AUUGAACGCUGGCGGCAUGCCUUACACAUGCAAGUCGAACGGUAACAGGUCUUCGGAUGCUGACGAGUGGCGAACGGGUGAGUAAUACAUCGGAACGUGCCCAGUCGUGGGGGAUAACUACUCGAAAGAGUAGCUAAUACCGCAUACGAUCUGAGGAUGAAAGCGGGGGACCUUCGGGCCUCGCGCGAUUGGAGCGGCCGAUGGCAGAUUAGGUAGUUGGUGGGAUAAAAGCUUACCAAGCCGACGAUCUGUAGCUGGUCUGAGAGGACGACCAGCCACACUGGGACUGAGACACGGCCCAGACUCCUACGGGAGGCAGCAGUGGGGAAUUUUGGACAAUGGGCGAAAGCCUGAUCCAGCAAUGCCGCGUGCAGGAUGAAGGCCUUCGGGUUGUAAACUGCUUUUGUACGGAACGAAAAAGCUUCUCCUAAUACGAGAGGCCCAUGACGGUACCGUAAGAAUAAGCACCGGCUAACUACGUGCCAGCCGCCGCAGUAACAC
rnacentral:rRNA from 1 species